rnacentral:misc_RNA from 1 species
GAUGAAGAACGUAGCUAAAUGCGAUAAGUAAUGUGAAUUGCAGAAUUCAGUGAAUCAUCGAAUCUUUGAACGCAUCUUGCGCUCCUUGGUAUUCUGAGGAGCAUGCCUGUUUGAGUGUCAUUAAAUUCUCAACUACACUGACUUUGAAUUGGUGUGGCUUGGAUUUGGGGGGAAAAUUGUUGUGGGCUUUUUGUAUAGUCUGCUCCCCUGAAAUUGAUUAGCGGUACCUUUGUGGAACUGUCUACAGGUGUGAUAAUUAUCUACAUCUUAGACAUCUGCUGGAAUGCUGCUUUCUAAACCUUACUUGUAUUGACAAUCUUGACCUCAAAUCAGGUAGGACUACCCGCUGAACUUAAGCAUAUCAAUAAGCGGAGGA